GUGCUUGCUUCGACAGCACAUAUAGUAAAAUGGGAAUGAUACCGAGAAAAUUAGCAGGGCCUCUUGUAAGGAAGACAGAAUUAUGUAGUAUGGCAUCAUUUU